rnacentral:rRNA from 1 species
UACGGAGGGUGCAAACGUUGCUCGGAAUCAUUGGGCGUAAAGCGCACGUAGGCGGCUUGUCACGUCGGGUGUGAAAGACCGGGGCUUAACCCCGGUUCUGCAUUCGAUACGGGCUGGCUAGAGUGUGGUAGGGGAGAUCGGAAUUCCUGGUGUAGCGGUGAAAUGCGCAGAUAUCGGGAGGAACACCAAUGGCGAAGGCAGCUCGCUGGGACGUUACUGACGCUGAGACGCGAAAGCGUGGGGAGCAAACAGG